rnacentral:rRNA from 1 species
GACAGAGGGUGCAAACGUUGUUCGGAAUUACUGGGCGUAAAGCGCGUGUAGGCGGUCGGGCAAGUCGGAUGUGAAAGCCCCGGGCUCAACCCGGGAAGUGCAUUCGAUACUGCUUGGCUAGAGUACUGGAGAGGAUGGUGGAACUCUCGGUGUAGAGGUGAAAUUCGUAGAUAUUAGGAAGAACACCAGUGGCGAAGGCGGCUCACUGGCCCGGUACUGACGCUGAGGCGCGAAAGCGUGGGGAGCAAACAGG